GACUUUUCUGGAGGCCGCGGGUGAGGAGCACAACUGAUAUGCCCUUUUUUCUGGUUUGUUGUUAUUUACCUAGCAUUGUAAACUAAGGAGGAAAAGUAACAAAGAGCUUGAAGACUUUCAUGGAGCCCAGGCCCUGGACGGAGGCAGGCGACAUCAGAGAACCAAGAAAGCUGAGGGGCAGCCAGGAGGCACCUGUGGCUGCAGAGCCCAGGAGAAUGGCCUGAUCAUACCUGUGAUUUACCAGAAAAGAGCCUAACAGAUGUUUGGAAAGAACUCAGAAGCAAGGUCGCCAGGUAGCUCUGAGAGCGACGGUCCAGGUGGGACGCAUAGCCUACUUCUUUGGUCUUGUGCUCCAUUCCCAAGGCUGCUCUUCAACAACCUGCCUGUCACAGGUCACAGCACUGGCUGAGGGCUUUCCGAGGGCAUUUAUUUAAUGGCAUGCCAGUGGCAUUUACUCAUAAAACCAAAAAGCCAUUAAGGCCAGAAAUAGGGAUUUUGGUUACUUCCCCAGACAGGAUGCAGUUGGGGUGAUUAUACAUGUGAUUCAUCGAGGUCGGGAAACAAGUCCUCCGCAAACAAACUCCCCUCCCCUCCCUGCCCAGCCCGGUGACUCACGGCUGCUUCGGCUUGGAAAGCGCUGGAGUCCAGGCCAAACUUGAGGCAUGAUGUUAAGUCAUAAAUCCUCAGCCUUGAUUGUUACCAAAGAAACAUUUUAAUUCAUUCUUUCAAUCAUUGAAGCAAUAAGCAGUGAGCGAACUCUUACUGUUUCAGGCACAGAAGACAUGGAGCUAUCAAACAUAGUAUUUUCCAGUUCAGCUGGGAAAACUGAUAGAGCAUGAGUAGGGCAUCCCAUACUGUCAGAACAGAGAGACGCUAACAGGACAACAAGGUCAGAGGAGAGACCCUCGACUGCUCCGGGAGAGGAAGGGAUGGCGUUGGACUUGCACCCUUUAGCGAACAGUGAUGGAGCAUUUACUGUCUGCCAGGCACUGUUCUAGACAUGACAUUUCACAUUCUUGUGCAGCAAGCUUUCUAGCAAGAGGAUUCAGAUGUUACACAGAGCUGGAAGCCGAACAAACGAAGCUCUAUCCUGGGGGAAUUUACCUUCUUGUGGAGGAGCAUUGGCGAGUGUGACAGCCAGGGCUUCGUUCUAAGAAACAGCAACACAUGCAAAAAGACACAGGAAUCCAGCCCUACUGGGAAAGAAUAGAGGGGAAAAAACCUCAGGUUGGAGAUGCCCAGUGUGACAAGAGGGCUUAUUUAUAACCUGAAUUAGGAUGAACAGUUCCUUUGGCUGGAGUGGACAGAACAUGGAGAUUCUUUUUUUUUAAUUUUUGAUUUUUUAAUUUUUCAUUUUAGGGCUGCACCUGCGGCCUAUGGAAGUUCCGAGGCUAGGGGUUGAAUGGGAGCUGCAGCUUCUGGCCUACGCCGCAGCCACAGCAAUGCCAAAGCCUUAUCCCUCUGAGCAAAGCCAGGGACCAAACCCGCAUCCUCAUGGAUACUAGCUGGGUUCUUAACCUGCUGAGCCACAAUGGGAACUCCUGAACACAGAGACUCUUCUUACAGGGAGACUCUCAGCAUUGAACCCCCAGACCUUCUGAUUUCUCAGGGCCCAUCAUGUAGUAGGAGUCACUGAUGCAGGAACCUGAGUACUGUGGUUUGGACUCACUGAUGAUGAUUCUGUACCUCUGUCUGACUGUUUUGCCAUGCCCCAGGGCCACAAAGAUAAAAACAUAAGAAACUGGCUGCCUCCUUGCUUAAAUAAUAUUCAGGUCAAGUUCUCUAACAGCCGACUCUGGCUGGGAGGUCAUGCUUAAUUCUCAUUUUAUCAGGCUGUCUAAAAUAACCAGGCCAUGAGGUGGUUAUUGUUAUGGUGCUCAUUGGAAUGGGAUUUGACCUAUAUAAGGAGAAGAACUAGGACGGAAAUAGCUCUCCAGCCCAUCGCAGACUUAGAGAAAACCAGUGUAAGCGGUGGCAGAAUCAGAGCUGGAGGGAAGAGAUGCAAGGUGACUUCAGGUGAUACUGGCACCUGCCUCUAGGCAGAUAUAUGCCUGUCUGGAAAGGUAAUGUAAACUCUAGAAUUCAUUAUUUUAACAAUGCAUCAUAAACAUUUACCCUUCCUGAAUAGUGCUGUUCCCUUCAGGGCAGUGAUGCUGCCUAGCCUUGGGCGAAACAUCUUCGAACCUCCUAUUUGACAGUAGACCUCAGAACCCAUCGCCUUUUCUUUUGAAUAUACUUAGUAGGAGGAAACCAUUGUCUUUGGAGGCUUUUUUGCAUUUUCUAAAAACCAAGUGCCGUAUCCAGUUGGUCCAGCUGAAAUGGUACUAUUUUUGAUUAACAUGAAUUUAAAUGCAGCUAUGAAAUUAUGAGGUGACACUUUUGUUUGGCUCAUAACUGGUUCAAAAGAGACUUACCAGCACUUGCAAACAUAACAAGUGCAUAUUCUCCCAGAUGGCUCAUUUGAGCGUCUGUGAGCUCUGAUAGCCUGUGCAGUCUCCUCACUCUGCUUGGUGAACUCCUUGAGGUCAAGGAGGGUGCCUUGUCUCAAAAUAUCCACCUACCCCAGAGGCAGGUGCAUGUCAGGGACUAUUUGGUACAGAAUUAACUAAAAAACAAUAAUGUCAUCACUUUACAGUCCUUUCAGGAAUUUUUGUCCAUUUUGAUUUUUUUCUUCCUUUUUUUUCCCCACCAAAUAGGAACCCUUUGAGGCUUAUUAGCCAGCAAACAGCAAAGGAAGCAGUCUGUGUGUAUUGAACACUGGUCUGAGAAAAGUUCAGGUUCUGAUGUAAACUCUUUUGUAGAACCUCUUGGGGAAAUUAUGUAAGCCUGUGUCCCCAUCUUUAAAUAAAGAGGUUGAACUCGAUGAUGGAAAUAGGUCUGUUUGAGGAGUAAAAUAUUGAGUAGCUACUUUGUGCCUACCUCUGUGCGUGUUGUGGGAGAUUUUUUUUAAGGUCUUAGCAUUGAUCAGGAUUCUUGUGUUUGCAAGUGGCAGAAACCCAGCUUGACUCAGCUGAGGUAGAAAACCAGACUUCAGGAACGGCAGAGGUGCACCAGAUUCCAGAAACCACUGGAUCAGGGACUGGGGUGCUUCCACAACACACUUCCACCAACUUUCUCCUUGGCUUAUCUCUCUGGGCCAGUUUUAUUUUCUCACUCUGUUUCUUCUGUGAGCCCGAAGACAUUUGCAAAACCUUUGGGAAGUCUUCCUGGCCAGGGGAACGAGAUAUCAUGAGCAGUUGCUAUUAGAACCACAAGAUUGGCUGAAGAGAGCGGCAGCUCCCCCAGAGAAGGGGCUGCUAUGCUGCCCCCCAAACCAAACCCCUGAAUCGCCUGCCACCCCUGUUCGCCACCCACUCCCACCCUUUUCCUGUCAGCUCUAUGCACCUUGGCUGAGAGUGUCUACUCUUCUUGAAGUUUCUGCCCAACUUCACUGUCUCUGAGGGCCAACUGCCUUGGGUCCCUACCUGUCUGUGCUCCCAGAGCCCCUUGAACCCAUCUGUACCCCGGAGGUACAGUGCCUCAUGUUAUUGGCUGUAGUCUGUGUAUAUGUUUUUCUUCCCUGUGAGACUGGGAACCUCUCAAAGACACUAACUGCCUUAAUUGAUCUCGGGUUACUUUUUAAAUUAAAAUAUUUAUUAAUUAGUGACAACCUACUGUGUAUGAGGUUCUGGGGAUUCAAAGAAAAAAGUGACCCAAGGUCUCCCUUCUCAAGAUGACCAAGGUCAAGUGGGAGACGUAUGAUAAACGGACACCUUCAGCAGAGGGCAGUGGUGUGCGUCCACCCCGGACGUCAGCUGGUGUUCCAGCAGCACGCAGCACAUGGGAGAGUCUCCUCCCUACUCAAGGACGGGGCUUGAGAAAGGCAGAGAGUUUGUGAGGGGUGGGAAUGCGCCCCUCCUGGCUUGUGCUGGGUUCUGUCGCCGAGGGUUAAACCUGGUUGAAUGGGGUCUAGAGGGAAGGAACGUUCUUCAGGGGUCCCUGAAAGUACAGUGUCACCAAAGGCUUGUGUUUGAAUUGGGUAGAGGAGGCAGAGACACAUGGAGUAACUGGAAAAAGAAUAUAGUUUCCAGAAAUGUGCUUGGAAUUUUAUUAGUACAUGGAACAAGGAGUAUAGAAAAAAAUUGAGAUUGCCGUGGGCUUAGAAGGGAAAUCCUUCAGUGCCAGUUGUGGGGAACUGACAGGCUAAAUCUGGAAUCAGAGUCUGGGGUUCAGUCUCACUCUGCUGGAUAUUAGUUUAGCAAUAAUCCUAAUUCCUACAUCAGAAAAUGAAGACACUAAGAUCCAUCAGAAUUAUACUGAGGAUAAAAGAAGACCUGUACAUGAAAGUACUUAGUAAACUGUAAAGCACAAUACAAACAAGUUAUUCCAUAAGUCUGUUUAUUGUUAAAACAGAGUGUGCUUGACAGGAGUAUUUGGAAAUAUGAAAAGAGGUAUAAGUACCUUUACAUGGAAAGAUGCAAAGUUCGUGUUGGAAGUUAGGUUAAUUUUACUCACUCACUAAACAUUCUGGUCAGUGACAUUGCAAAAUGCAUAACCUGUUAAUGACUUGACUGACUUGUUAUACAUUUCUGACUCUGAGGAUAGGGCAGUCUGACUCAGCUGGACGUGGGACAUGGUAGGAAUUAAUUUGUUUUGAUGUCGUAAUUGCAAGGUAUCUUCUCUACCCACUGUAUAUUCUGAACGAUAUAUUCUGGUAGCCAGAAGGUUCACCUGAGGCUUUCCCUCUGAGGGGUAAAACUUCCCUUCCGUGCCUCUCCUUCCUCCUCCUUAAAUAAUAGUGAAUAAUGAUGGCAUUUUAGAGAGUCACCCUCAUAAAAAGGGUCUGAAGACAUGUGAUCCCAUCACAUUGGAUGUGACAGUGUUUUGUGUUCUGCUCUGGUGCGGGAGAGAGCGGGCAGGUGCAUCCAUCAGACACAGAAUGACCCACUAAAGCAACCUGAACUCUGGGUCUUUAAGCAUAUCUCAAAGACUAGGAUGAGAUAGUAAAUUUUAGUGGACCCCCCCUGGUGUAGGCACACAGUGUAAAUAAUCUUCACUCCAUGAGCUCCUCCGGUUUUACAGGGCUCUCCCUGCCUUUUCUCCCACUUUCAGCACCAAGGCUUAGCCUGAACUGAUCAUUGCUGGAGAGAAGGACCCUCAUGCUUUUUCGUGAUGCUAUGAGGGUAGCUCUGCAAAUGAUGGAACAAAACGUUAGAGACUGAUCACUCAUGCUUAUUCAGUGAUGAACCCAGAAGACAAGGAAGUGCCAGGUGUGGGGUCAAAGCCAUGGCCAGCUGGUGUUUUCUCUCUCCAUUCAUUAUUCCAUUUACCUAGCCUUUCUAAAAUUUAUGUCAGGAAAGAGAAUGUGGCUCCUUUUGGAAUACCAUAUCUAUGAGAUAUUAAUAUAAGUUCCAUAAAAUAACAGGGGAUUCUGAGGUCAAACAAGUGUGAGAAAUGCUGAACAUGUCCCCACGGAGAUGCAAAAUGUACGUGUACAUAUCUAAGACUGCAGGAGUUCCCAUCAGGCUCAGCAGAAACGAAAAUAACCAGGAACCAUGAGGUUGUGGGUUCGAUCCCUGACUUCGCCUAGUGGGUAAGGAUCCAGCGUUGCUGUGAGUUGUGGUGUCGGUCAUAGAUACAUGGCUCAGAUCCUGAGUUGCUGUGGCUGUGGCGUAGGCUGGCAGCUGUAGCUCCGAUUUGACCCCUAGCCUGGGAACCUCCAUAUGCUGCAGGUGUGGCCCUUAAAAAAA
rnacentral:lncRNA from 1 species